rnacentral:rRNA from 1 species
AUGUGCUGCUUCUAAUCGUCUUCGGACAAUUAAUUGACCAUUUGACCUCAAAUCAGUAGGACUACCCGCUGAACUUAAGCAUAUCAAUAAGCGGAGGG